GAUGAAGAACGUAGCGAAAUGCGAUAAGUAAUGUGAAUUGCAGAAUUCAGUGAAUCAUCGAAUCUUUGAACGCACAUUGCGCCCGCCAGUAUUCUGGCGGGCAUGCCUGUUCGAGCGUCAUUUCAACCAUCAAGCCCCCGGCUUGUGUUGGGGACCUGCGGCUGCCGCAGGCCCUGAAAACCAGUGGCGGGCUCGCUGUCACACCGAGCGUAGUAGAUUUUCAUCUCGCUCAGGGCGUGCUGCGGGUUCCGGCCGUAAAAAGCCUUAUUUACCCAAGGUUGACCUCGAAUCAGGUAGGAAGACCCGCUGAACUUAAGCAUAUCAAUAAGCGGAGGA
rnacentral:misc_RNA from 1 species